GGACUACUGGGGUUUCUAAUCCUGUUUGCUCCCCACGCUUUCGUGUCUCAGCGUCAGUAUUCGUCCAGUUGGCCGCCUUCGCCACCGGUGUUCCUCUCGAUAUCUACGAAUUUCACCUCUACACCGAGAAUUCCACCAACCUCUCCGAUACUCUAGCCCCCCAGUUUCGAGUGCACUUCCUGGGUUGAGCCCAGGGAUUUCACACCCGACUUAGGGGACCGCCUACACACGCUUUACGCCCAGUAAUUCCGAACAACGUUUGCACCCUCUGUCUUACCGCGGCUGCUGGCAC
rnacentral:rRNA from 1 species